rnacentral:rRNA from 1 species
CCUACGGGAGGCAGCAGUGGGGAAUAUUGCACAAUGGGGGAAACCCUGAUGCAGCGACGCCGCGUGAGUGAAGAAGUAAUUCGGUAUGUAAAGCUCUAUCAGCAGGGAAGAAAAUGACGGUACCUGAAAAAGAAGCACCGGUGAACUACGUGCCAGCAGCGGCGGUAAUACGUAGGGGGCAAGCGUGAUCCGGAUUUACGGGGUGUAAAGGGAGCGUAGACGGCAGUGCAAGUCUGGAGUGAAAGGCGGGGGCUCAACCCCCGGACUGCUUUGGAAACUGUUCGGCUGGAGUGCAGGAGAGGUAAGUGGAAUUCCUAGUGUAGCGGUGAAAUGCGUAGAUAUUAGGAGGAACACCAGUGGCGAAGGCGGCUUACUGGACUGUAACUGACGUUGAGGCUCGAAAGCGUGGGGAGCAAACAGGAUUAGAUACCCGUGUAGUC